AUGGCUAAAGAGUUCAGUCAGUGAUGGGGAAAUGACUUACAUUCCGAUUCGCGGCAGCGGUUCCUCUCUAGAGCAAUAUUGAAAAGAUUGCCUAAAACGAAGGCGAGGCGAUCGCAAGCGGUAUCAAGGAGAGGAGCGAGCCAUGACCGUGCGGCAGUACGAGCUAUUUCUGCAGCAGCCUCUGUUACUCCUCUACUCCCACCUCGGCCAGCAUGUGCAAUUGUUUUUCCCCAGUGCUCUGGGGAAGGAUCAGCUGCUCCAUCAAUCAAAACCCCCUUAAGCAACGUAAGGGUGUGAUCAGUUUCUUGUAGUUCAACCAAAAGUUUUAUGGAAAAAACAACAGUUCAAUU